GAAAUCCAAUGCAUCCAAAGUGUACAUUAGUCUUUCCUGGUUCAUAACAUAUUUUUUGGUCCCUUUCAGAUCACAGCCAUGUCAACAGUGGGCGUCAGGCUUGUAAGAGACAUGAAUUAUCUGUGAGAUUCAGUGAACAAGGCUAGAAGGACUGGGUAUUGGCUCCUACGGGUUACUCUGCCUUCUACUGUGAUGGAGAAUGCCUCUACCCUCUGUGUUCCUGCAUAAACUCCACCACCCACACUAUGAUCCAACUAGUGGUUUGUUGAACAUGAGUGGAAAUGAAACUCCAGCACACUGGUAGCACUAAAGACGUGUGAGUAUAACUUUUCCAGGUGAGUUGAACCUGCCUGUGGGUGCAGUGGGGAUAUUCCUGGGUGGUCUACUGAUUAAGAGGUAUAAGCUUGGCGUUGUGUCUGGAGCCCAGCUGUCUUUCAUCACCUCCUUCAUGGCCUACCUCCUCCUCCCUCUGCAGUCUGGCACUAAGUGUGACAACGUUCAGGUGGCUGGUCUGACCGUGUCCUACAACGGGUAAAUAUGACAUCUGAUUGGUUGGUUGGUUGGUGGGUUGAUAAAAACAAAAGUUUUGAUCAGUGGAAUAUGAGGGAGAGCUUGACCAAAACACACAUGGGCUUGUGCCGGCGCUCCCUCUUGUGGGAAUAUUCAGUAUGGUUGUUACUGAGCCCGGAUUCAUGGCUGUUUUGUCACUGUGCCUGUGUCAAUGAUAGUUCAGCAACAAUUAUUUAAACAUCAUUAUUACCAGCCAUUUUCUCUGUCCCCCAUGUCCCCAGGUGUACGAUGGCAGCAUGUUGUCACAGUGUAACAGAGACUGCUUCUGCUUGGCUGGGGAGUGGGACCUUGUGUGUUCAGACAACGGCAUCACCUACACCUCCCCCUGCCUCGCAGGCUGCUCCAGCUUUACAGGUUAUGGCAAGAACACGGUACCAAUACUAUUAAUGUACUGAGUGUACAAAACAUUCACAGGGAUGCUGGCCCAUGUUGACUUCAAUGCUUCCCACAGUUGUGUCAAGUUGGCUGUAUGUCUUUUGAGUGGUGGACCAUUCUUGAUACACACAGGAAACUGUUGAGCGUAAAAAAAACAGCAGCGUUGCAGUUCUUGACACAAACUGGUAUCCCUGGCACCGACUACCAUGCCCCGUUGAAAGGCACGUAAAUAUUUUGUCUUGCCCAUUCACCCUCUGAAUGGCACACACACAAUCCAUGUCUCAAUUGUCUCAAGCUUUACAAUAUAUUUUUUAAACCUUUCCCUU